CAGCCGCCGCGGUAAUACGAAGGGGGCUAGCGUUGCUCGGAAUGACUGGGCGUAAAGGGCGCGUAGGCGGAAUGCUUUGUCGGGCGUGAAAUUCCAGGGCUUAACCUUGGGGCUGCGUUCGAGACGGGUAUUCUAGAGUUUGGAAGAGGGUCGUGGAAUUCCCAGUGUAGAGGUGAAAUUCGUAGAUAUUGGGAAGAACACCGGUGGCGAAGGCGGCGACCUGGUCCUUGACUGACGCUGAGGCGCGAAAGCGUGGGGAGCGAACAGGAUUAGAUACCCCCGUAGUCCCUGUCUCUUAUAC
rnacentral:rRNA from 1 species